rnacentral:rRNA from 1 species
UCCAAUCGAACCCGGAGAUAGCUGGUUCUCCCCGAAAUAGCUUUAGGGCUAGCGUUGUAUAUCAUUACCGGAGGUAAAGCACUGAAUGGCCUAGGGCCCUAACGGGUACCGAAGCCUAUCAAACUAAGAAUGCCGGAUAAUGUGAGUACAGCAGUCAGACUAUGGGAGAUAAGUUUCAUGGUCAAAAGGGAAACAGCCCAGACCCACAGCUAAGGUCCCAAAUAUGAUUUAAGUGGAAAACGAUGUGGAGUUGCGAAAACAACCAGGAUGUUGGCUUAGAAGCAGCCACUCAUUAAAAGAGUGCGUAAUAGCUCACUGGUCGAGUGACUCUGCGCGGAAAAUGUAACGGGGCUAAGCGUAUAACCGAAGCUUGGGAUGCAGCAAUGCAUGGUAGGGGAGCGUCGAAUACGGGGUGAAGUCGCAGCGGAAGCAGCGGUGGACUGUAUUCGAGUGAGAAUGCCGGAAUGAGUAGCGAGAAUUAUGUGGGAAUCAUAAUGGCCGAAAAUCUAAGGUUUCUUGGGGAAGGUUCGUCCGCCCAAGGUAAGCCGGGAGCUAAGGCGAGGCCGAAAGGCGUAGUCGAUGCACAUACGGUAGAAAUUCCGUAGCCACCGAACUUUAAGUCAGAGGGACACUUUUGGAUAGCGGAACCCGGGCGUUGGUUGACCCGGGCGAAAGGGAGCGAAAAUAUAGUAGCGAAGUCCGCGAUGCUGAGAGGCGAGAAAAGCUCUGAUGGAUACUAAGGUGCCCGUACCGCAAACCGACACAGGUAGAUGAGGAGAGAAUCCUAAGGCCAACGGGAGAAGGGUUGUUAAGGAACUCGGCAAAAUGACCCCGUAACUUCGGGAUAAGGGGAGCCUCCUACGGGAGGCCGCAGCGAAUAGGCCCAAGCGACUGUUUACCAAAAACACAGGUCUCUGCUAAAUCGAAAGAUGACGUAUAGGGGCUGACGCCUGCCCGGUGCUGGAAGGUUAAGAGGAGAUGUCAGGAGCAAUCCGAAGCAUUGAAUCGAAGCCCCAGUAAACGGCGGCCGUAACUAUAACGGUCCUAAGGUAGCGAAAUUCCUUGUCAGGUAAGUUCUGACCCGCACGAAUGGCGUAACGAUUUGGGCACUGUCUCAACAGCCCACCCGGCGAAAUUGUUGUACUGGUGAAGAAGCCAGUUACCCGCAACUAGACGGAAAGACCCCAUGGAGCUUUACUGUAGCUUAAUACUGAGGAUUGGUAAAUCAUGUACAGGAUAGGUGGGAGACAUGGAAGCCUGGGCGUCAGCUCAGGUGGAGUCACCCUUGGGAUACCACCCUUGAUUUGCUGGUUUUCUAACCUGCGGCCGUGAAUCCGGUCGGGGGACACUGUUAGGUGGGCAGUUUGACUGGGGCGGUCGCCUCCUAAAAGGUAACGGAGGCGCUCAAAGGUUCGUUCAGCACGGACGGAAACCGUGCAGUGAGUGUAAACGCAUAAACGAGCCUAACUGCGAGACCGACGGGUCGAGCAGUAACGAAAGUUGGAGUUAGUGAUCCGGCGGUAUGUGAGUGGAAAUGCCGUCGCUCAACGGAUAAAAGCUACCCUGGGGAUAACAGGCUGAUCUCCCCCAA